rnacentral:rRNA from 1 species
GGCUAUGACGGGUAACGGGGAAUUAGGGUUCGAUUCCGGAGAGGGAGCCUGAGAAACGGCUACCACAUCUAAGGAAGGCAGCAGGCGCGCAAAUUACCCAAUCCUAAUACAGGGAGGUAGUGACAAGAAAUAACAAUACAGAACCUUACGGUUUUGUAAUUGGAAUGAGUUAAGUAUAAACCCCUUAACAAGUAUCAAUUGGAGGGCAAGUCUGGUGCCAGCAGCCGCGGUAAUUCCAGCUCCAAUAGCGUAUAUUAAAGUUGUUGCAGUUAAAAAGCUCGUAGUUAAUCUUCUGUUAAUUUUUAUAUAUAAUAUCACGAUAUUUAUAUAAUAUUAACAUAAUUCAUAUUACUUUUUAGUAUAUGAAACUUUACUUUGAGAAAAUUAGAGUGCUUAAAGCAGGCUAUUGCCUUGAAUACUCCAGCAUGGAAUAAUAUUAAGGAUUUUUAUUCUUCUUAUUGGUUCUAGAAUAAAAAUGA